GAUGAACGCUGGCGGCGUGCUUAACACAUGCAAGUUGAACGAAGUGGCGGAUGGGCGAGUAACACGUGAGGAACCUGCCUUUCACUGGGGAAUAACACUGGGAAACCAGUGCUAAUACCGCAUAGUGAAAGAUGGCCUCGCGCCUGUUUAGCUAGUAGGUGAGGUAACGGCUCACCUAGGUGAUGAUCAGGAGCAGAGAUGAAGUUUGAUAGGCCGCAUUGGGACUGGGACACGGCCCAGACUCCUACGGGAGGCAGCAGUGGGGAAGAUUGGGAAAUGGCGCAAGCCUGACCCAGCAACGCCGCGUGAAGGAAGACGGUCUUCGGAUUGUAAACUUCUUUAGACAGGGACGCGGUACCUGUAGAAUAAGCCACGGCUAACUACGUGCCAGCAGCCGCGGUAAUUC
rnacentral:rRNA from 1 species